AUUGAACGCUGGCGGCAGGCUUAACACAUGCAAGUCGAGCGGAGAUGAGGUGCUUGCACCUUAUCUUAGCGGCGGACGGGUGAGUAAUGCUUAGGAAUCUGCCUAUUAGUGGGGGACAACAUUCCGAAAGGAAUGCUAAUACCGCAUACGUCCUACGGGAGAAAGCAGGGGAUCUUCGGACCUUGCGCUAAUAGAUGAGCCUAAGUCGGAUUAGCUAGUUGGUGGGGUAAAGGCCUACCAAGGCGACGAUCUGUAGCGGGUCUGAGAGGAUGAUCCGCAACACUGGGACUGAGACACGGCCCAGACUCCUACGGGAGGCAGCAGUGGGGAAUAUUGGACAAUGGGGGGAACCCUGAUCCAGCCAUGCCGCGUGUGUGAAGAAGGCCUUAUGGUUGUAAAGCACUUUAAGCGAGGAGGGGGCUACUGAGACUAGUACUCUUGGAUAGUGGACGUUACUCGCAGAAUAAGCACCGGCUAACUCUGUGCCAGCCGCCGCCGUAACAC
rnacentral:rRNA from 1 species